CUUCUUUCUCUUACAUCACAAUUAAAAUGAGAGCACGUAAAAAGAACUUUUGCUUCUUUUAAAAGGAUCCUAGAACUAAUACUACUGGAAUCUAAAUUUAAAUUUAAAUUUAAAUAAGGUUGAUUGUGCUAGAGGUGGUUACCUGACCCAUCAGAAAGAUGGAGUUAGCUGAAUUCGGCAAGUUUACCUUAAGUGUGUAGAUUCCACAAGUGUGCGGAAUUGUUUCAUUGAGGGAUUCAUUAAAUCUAUUGAUAGCAGCCCUGCCAGCUAAGUAGCUUCCUGCUUGGACCUGUUCACAAGGAGCUCCUGUUUGCCAUUUGGUUGCAUCCUGUGACUAAGCUACGUAAUAAAAUGUUGAAACUCAA